rfam:Triticum aestivum genome assembly, contig: Triticum_aestivum_CS42_TGACv1_scaffold_577023_7BL
CAAUUACUCCCUCCGUUCCACAAUACAUGCCUUCCAUUUGUCAAAAUAUGGAUGUAUCUAGAUAUGUUUUAGUAUGUAGGUACAUCCAUUUUUGGACAAAUGGAAGUCAAGUAGUAGUAUUUUGGAACGGAGGGAGUAUUUU